GGGGAAUCUUCCGCAAUGGACGAAAGUCUGACGGAGCAACGCCGCGUGAGUGAUGACGGCCUUCGGGUUGUAAAGCUCUGUUAAUCGGGACGAAUGGUUCUUGUGCGAAUAGUGCGAGGAUUUGACGGUACCGGAAUAGAAAGCCACGGCUAACUACGUGCCAGCAGCCGCGGUAAUACGUAGGUGGCAAGCGUUGUCCGGAAUUAUUGGGCGUAAAGCGCGCGCAGGCGGAUUGGUCAGUCUGUCUUAAAAGUUCGGGGCUUAACCCCGUGAUGGGAUGGAAACUGCCAAUCUAGAGUAUCGGAGAGGAAAGUGGAAUUCCUAGUGUAGCGGUGAAAUGCGUAGAUAUUAGGAAGAACACCAGUGGCGAAGGCGACUUUCUGGACGAAAACUGACGCUGAGGCGCGAAAGCCAGGGGAGCGAACGGGAUUAGAUACCCCGGUAGUCCUGGCCGUAAACGAUGGGUACUAGGUAUAGGAGGUAUCGACCCCUUCUGUGCCGGAGUUAACGCAAUAAGUACCCCGCCUGGGGAGUACGACCGCAAGGUUG
rnacentral:rRNA from 1 species